GAAUGAGAGAUGGUGAAGGAAUAAGUGCACAGGAAAUUUACUACGCUGAUUGGUGUUAUUUUGGAGCACUCCAGCUGAAGAGCAGCUUGAUAAAUGGCUCAGGUGUCCAGCUGAAAAACUUAAGCCUUGAACGCCAGCUGGGAAGCUGAAAUUGUUUCACAUUUUACCUGUCCCCUCCCAGAAUCUCUGCUGCACCAACGAUCACUUUGUAGAGCUUUCAGCCCUGGGAAGAACACACAGAAUCGAAAAGCAUCCAGGUUAUUAGAGAAAUAAAAUAUUCUGCAGAUCAGUUGAUUCAUGAACUAUUAAAUGCCCCUUGAGCCAGUCUGCAGAAGAACUGGCUGAUACAUAAAUGGGAUGGGUAUUCUACAGGGCUCCCUGCCUUCAGCAGCCUCCAGGAUCAGAUGAAUAUUACACAUAUUUUUGAGGCGUUUGCCUUUCAUGAGCUGCCAGCAUGGACCAGGACCCCAUUUUGCUAGGAGCUGUAC